GGAAAGAAUAUGAUUUCCUGAGUUGCCAAAAACCUCGUCUCUACUAAAAUUACAAAAAUUAGCCGGGUGUGGUGGUGGGUUUGCAAGAGGCAGUGAAGGCAGCCAGUUCAGGCUGAAACAGGCUUCACAGACUUACACAACUGGCAGAGAGGUUAGCAAGUAGAAAGUAUGAGUAUGCAGUAAGUAUACAGACAACUAUACAAAUGAAACUAAAACAGUUAUUAACUCCAGGAAAAACAAAAAGUUGUAAGAAAAAGGUAAUCAUAGUUUACCAAAUAUUAAUAGUGAACUGUAAAUAGCGCACUUUGGGAGGCCGAGGCGGGUGGAUCACCUGAGGUCGGGGGUUCGAG
rnacentral:lncRNA from 10 species